rnacentral:lncRNA from 1 species
UGAAAACCUGUCACAGUUGUGUGUCUUGUGGGGAACAGAAAAGCUCCGAUCCGCCGAAACAAACCUCCUUGAACAUGAACAUACCCAUCCCAAGAGGCCCAGAAAGAGAGAAUUUACCUUUUCAUUAAUCACCCUUUUUCUCUCUCACACACAAACACACACAACUAAAAAGAAAUAUACCCAGAAAAUGAACUUUUGUUUUUGUUUACAAAAAGCUCAAAGUACAUAACAAAUCAUCACCCCUUUACUCUUUCUUUCUCAUCAUGACUACAUAUUCCCAUAUUUUUCUCUCUCUAAAUCUAUCUGAUAGCUCUGUUUCUCUUUUAAUCUAAAAACCCAAAUUCCUGCUCAAAAAUUCUCUCCCUUUAAUGGGUUUCUCUUCUAGCUUUAAUUUCUAUAAUAUUUUUGUCUCUCUAUCAGCUAGUUGUUACAAUUGCUGGUGUUGCUUGACUUGGUUAAAUCUUGAUGUUUGUUUAAGCAGUGCAAUCUCUAACUACCAGUAGGUGACCUAAACCUCUCUUAAACCCUUUCUUUCUCUCUGUUCAACGUCUGGAUGUCCCUCUCAUCUUGAGCAUGAAUGGAAGGUCUGAGUUGCUGCAAUAUCCACCAUAUUACCCAUUUUUAAUUUGUUUGUUUAUUUUAUAUAGUAGAAUUUUGUAGUUU